GUGUUUUUUCGUAAGUAAGAUAUUAAACAGUCGACUGAAAAGUUAGUGCAAAAUUUAAGACAAGUAAUUUGCCUUUUUGCGAUUUAAGCAUUUUCGGCGAAAGGAAUGAAAAAAAACUUUCAAUGAAAAUUAUAAACAGCA